AUUGAACGCUGGCGGCAGGCCUAACACAUGCAAGUCGAGCGAGCGGCGGACGGGUGAGUAAUGUAUGGGGACUGCCCGAUAGAGGGGGAUAACUACUGGAAACGGUGGCUAAUACCGCAUACUAUCGGAUAACCCAUAUGGGAUUAGCUAGUAGGGGGGGUAAAGGCUCACCUAGGCGACGACCGCUAGCUGGUCUGAGAGGAUGAUCAGCCACAUGGGGAUGGAGACAGGGCCCAGACUCCGACGGAGGCAGCAGUGGGGAAUAUUCCACAAUGGGCGAAAGCAUGAUGCAGCCUUGCCGGGGUAAUAAAGAAGGCCUUCGGGUUGUAAAUUAUUUUGAGCGGGGAGGCUUUACCCGCAGAAUAAGCACCGGCUAACUCCGUGCAAGCAGCCGCGGUAAUAC
rnacentral:rRNA from 1 species